AAGUCGUAACAAGGUAUCCGUAGGUGAACCUGCGGAUGGAUCAUUAACAGUAUUAUUAUAAUACAACAACACAUGUGAACCGUAAGGGAGCUUACCCUCUCAUUUAUUAUUAUUUUAGACUGAAUUUUAUAGUAUAUAACAUCAUAAAACUUUUAGCAAUGGAUCUCUGGGCUCUC
rnacentral:misc_RNA from 1 species